CCCUAGGUAGUGAAAACAGUUAACACAUUUGGCUACUAACCCAAAGGGUGGAGGUUCAAGUCCACCCAAAGGCA
rnacentral:tRNA from 1 species